ensembl:snRNA U6 U6 spliceosomal RNA
GUGCUCACUUCAGCAGCACAUGUACUAAAAGUGGAACAAUACAGGGAAGAUUAGUGUGGCCUGUGCGCAAGGAUGACAUGCAGACUCGUGAAGUAUUCCAUAUAUUU